GACGCUGGCGGCAGGCUUAACACAUGCAAGUCGAGCGCGUAGCAAUACGAGCGGCAGACGGGUGAGUAACGCGUGGGAAUCUACCCAACCCUACGGAAUAACGCAUGGAAACGUGUGCUAAUACCGUAUACGCCCUUCGGGGAAAGAUUUAUCGGGGAUGGAUGAGCCCGCGUUGGAUUAGCUAGUUGGUGGGGUAAAGGCCUACCAAGGCGACGAUCCAUAGCUGGUCUGAGAGGAUGAUCAGCCACAUUGGGACUGAGACACGGCCCAAACUCCUACGGGAGGCAGCAGUGGGGAAUAUUGGACAAUGGGCGCAAGCCUGAUCCAGCCAUGCCGCGUGAGUGAUGAAGGCCCUAGGGUUGUAAAGCUCUUUCACCGGUGAAGAUAAUGACGGUAACCGGAGAAGAAGCCCCGGCUAACUUCGUG
rnacentral:rRNA from 1 species